GAUGAACGCUGGCGGCGUGCCUAAUACAUGCAAGUCGAGCGAACAGACGAGGAGCUUGCUCCUCUGACGUUAGCGGCGGACGGGUGAGUAACACGUGGAUAACCUACCUAUAAGACUGGGAUAACUUCGGGAAACCGGAGCUAAUACCGGAUAAUAUAUUGAACCGCAUGGUUCAAUAGUGAAAGACGGUUUUGCUGUCACUUAUAGAUGGAUCCGCGCCGCAUUAGCUAGUUGGUAAGGUAACGGCUUACCAAGGCAACGAUGCGUAGCCGACCUGAGAGGGUGAUCGGCCACACUGGGACUGAGACACGGUCCAGACUCCUACGGGAGGCAGCAGUAGGGAAUCUUCCGCAAUGGGCGAAAGCCUGACGGAGCAAAGCCGCGUGAAGGAUGAAGGUCUUCGGGUCGUAAAACUCUUUUAUUAGGGAAGAAAAAAUGUUUAAGUAACUAUGCACGUCUUGACGGUACCUAAUCAGAAAGCCACGGCUAACUACGUG
rnacentral:rRNA from 1 species